GGAGAAGCAUUAUCCCGAGAGGUGAUGAGGAGGGUCCUUAGGACCCACGAACUCAGUGAUUCCACGCUCCCGAGAAAAGCUCCGGCAGAGUUAAUCGCUAUGACGACCGUACCGCAAACCGACUCAGGUGGGCGGGAAGAAUAUUCCAAGGCGCUUGAGAGAAGCCUCUCUAAGGAACUCGCAAAAUGCCACCGUAACUUCGGGAGAAGGUGGGCCAGUAGUAGGUGAUGAGCCACGCGCUCUUAGCCCAGGCUGGUUGCAGAGAAACGGGGGUAGCGACUGUUUACCAAAAACACAGCACUCUGCGAACUCGCAAGAGGACGUAUAGGGUGUGACGCCUGCCCGGUGCCGGAAGGUUAAGGGGAGCUGUCAGCGCAAGCGAAGCAGCGAACCGAAGCCCCGGUAAACGGCGGCCGUAACAAUAACGGUCCUAAGGUAGCGAAAUUCCUUGUCGGGUAAGUUCCGACCUGCACGAGGGCGUAACGACUUCCCCACUGUCCCGGAGAGGCCCUCAGUGAAGUAGCACUAGGGGUGAAGAUACCCUUUACCCGCGGCAGGACGGAAAGACCCCGUGAACCUUUACUGCAACUUGACACUGACUUUCGGAUUGACUUGCGUAGGAUAGGUGGGAGGCUUUGAAGCCGGGACUCUGGUUUCGGUGGAGCCAACCUUGAAAUACCACCCUGGUUAAUCUGGAAGUCUAACCUACACCCAACCGAAAGGGCACUGGGUGGGGGACAAUGUCUGGUGGGCAGUUUGACUGGGGCGGUCGCCUCCCAAAGAGUAACGGAGGCGCGCGAAGGUUCCCUCAGCCUGAUUGGAAACCAGGCGUAGAGUGUAAUGGCAUAAGGGAGCUUGACUGCGAGUCCGACGGGACGAGCAGGUGCGAAAGCAGGUCAUAGUGAUCCGGUGGUCCGGUAUGGAGCGGCCAUCGCUCAACGGAUAAAAGGUACUCCGGGGAUAACAGGCUUAUCACGCCCAAGAGUUCAUAUCGACGGCGUGGUUUGGCACCUGAUGUCGGCUCAUCGCAUCCUGGGGCUGAAGUCGGUCCCAAGGGUUUGGCUGUUCGCCAAUUAAAGCGGUACGCGAGCUGGGUUCAAAACGUCGUGAGACAGUUUGGUCCCUAUCCGCCGUGGGCGCAGGAAACUUGAGAGGAUCUGUCCUUAGUACGAGAGGACCGGGAUGGACUGACCGCUGGUAUGCCGAUUGUGACGCCAGUCGCAUUGCCGGGUAGCUAUGUCAGGAAUGGAUAACCGCUGAAAGCAUCUAAGCGGGAAGCCAGCCUCGAGAUUAGGUUUCCCUCCAGCGCAAGCUGGCUAAAGGCCCCUUGUAGACUACGAGGAGAUAGGCCGGGUGUGGAAGCACCGCAAGGUGUGGAGCUAACCGGUACUAAUCGGCCGUGAGGCUUGACCAU
rnacentral:rRNA from 1 species